AGUGAACGCUGGCGGUAGGCCUAACACAUGCAAGUCGAACGGCAGCACAGUAAGAGCUUGCUCUUACGGGUGGCGAGUGGCGGACGGGUGAGGAAUACAUCGGAAUCUACUUUUUCGUGGGGGCUAACGUAGGGAAACUUACGCUAAUACCGCAUACGACCUACGGGUGAAAGCAGGGGAUCUUCGGACCUUGCGCGAUUGAAUGAGCCGAUGUCGGAUUAGCUAGUUGGCGGGGUAAAGGCCCACCAAGGCGACGAUCCGUAGCUGGUCUGAGAGGAUGAUCAGCCACACUGGAACUGAGACACGGUCCAGAGUCCUACGGGAGGCAGCAGUGGGGAAUAUUGGACAAUGGGCGCAAGCCUGAUCCAGCCAUACCGCGUGGGUGAAGAAGGCCUUCGGGUUGUAAAGCCGUUUUGUUGGGAAAGAAAAGCAGCAGGUUAAUACCCCGCUGUUCUGACGGUACCCAAAGAAUAAGCACCGGCUAACUUCGUG
rnacentral:rRNA from 1 species